rnacentral:rRNA from 1 species
CUGCGGAAGGAUCAUGGUCG